CCUACGGGAGGCAGCAGUGAGGAAUAGUGGUCAAUGGCCGGAAGGCUGAACCAGCCAUGCCGCGUGAAGGGCAGAGACCUAGGGGCGGUAAACUUCUGUUGUGCGGGAGCAAGAAUGGGCACGGGUGGCCAGACGAGAGUACCGUAGGAAGAAGCAUCGGCGAACUCCGGGCCAGCAGCCGCGGUAAUACGGGGGAGGCAAGCGUUCUCCUGAUUUAUGGGGUUUAAAGGGUGCGUAUGCUGUGAGGUAAGUCAGCGGUGAAAUGCCCCCGCUCAACGGGGUGAAGUGCCAUUGAGACUGCCUUGCUGGACUGCGGCUGCCGUGGGUGGUCUUUGUGUUGUAGC
rnacentral:rRNA from 1 species